UGAAUACGAGAUGCUACGGCGUCGAAGCAGUGUAUGUCAGACUUCCAAGAAAAGCUCGCAAUGUCAUAAAUAAAGAAUGCCUGUACCAUAACCGACACAGGUGGGUAGGUAGAGUAUACUAAGGGGCGCGAGAUAACUCUCUCUAAGGAACUCGGCAAAAUAACUCCGUAACUUCGGGAGAAGGAGUGCCUUCUUGAAGAAGGUUGCAAUAACAAGAUCCAAGCAACUGUUUAACAAAAACACAGGUCUCCGCUAAGUCGAAAGACGAUGUAUGGGGGCUGACGCCUGCCCAGUGCCAGAAGGUUAAAGAAGCUGGUUAGCAAUAGCGAAGCUGGUGACUGAAGCCCUGGUGAACGGCGGCCGUAACAAUAACGGUCCUAAGGUAGCGAAAUUCCUUGUCGGGUAAGUUCCGACCCGCACGAAAGGCGUAAUGAUUUGGAUACUGUCUCGGAGAGGGACUCGGUGAAAUAGACUUGUCUGUGAAGAUGCGGACUACCUGCACCAGGACAGAAAGACCCUAUGAAGCUUUACUGUAACUUGAAAUUGAAAUUGGACUUUAUUUGCGCAGUAUAGGUGGAAGGCGUUGAGAUUACUCUUGCGGGAUUAGUGGAGCCAUCAGUGAGAUACCACUCCUAUAAUGUUAGAUUUCUAACUUUGGAUCAUAAUCUGGUCAAAGAACAGUUUCAGGCGGGCAGUUUGACUGGGGCGGUCGCCUCCCAAAUGGUAACGGAGGCGUACAAAGGUUUCCUCUGAACGGGUAGAAAUCGUAUCUAGAGUGUAAAGGCAUAAGGAAGCUUGACUGUGAGACCUACAAGUCGAGCAGGGACGAAAGUCGGUCUUAGUGAUCUGACGGUGCUGAGUGGAAAGGCCGUCACUCAACGGAUAAAAGUUACUCUAGGAUAACAGGCUGAUCUCCCCCAAGAGUUCACAUCGACGGGGAGGUUUGGCACCUCGAUGUCGGCUCAUCGCAUCCUGGGGCGGUAGUACGUCCCAAGGGUUGGGCUGUUCGCCCAUGAAAGCGGUACGCGAGCUGGGUUCAGAACGUCGUGAGACAGUUCGGUCCAUAUCCGGUGUAGGCGUUAGAAUAUUGAGAGGAGCCUUCUUUAGUACGAGAGGACCGAGAAGGACAUACCUCUGGUGUACCAGUUAUCGUGCCAACGGUAAACGCUGGGUAGCUAUGUAUGGAGAGGAUAACCGCUGAAAGCAUCUAAGUGGGAAGCCCACCUCAAGAUGAGUAUUCUAAGGCGCGUGGAAGAACCCUGGUUAAGGAACUCUGCAAACUAGCACCGUAACUUCGGAAUAAGGUGUACCUACUUUUGUAUAUGGAUUUACUCC
rnacentral:rRNA from 1 species